AGCCGCUGGAGAGGAAAGCGUAAAAAAAGCCAUGGAUUUGAAGCGGCGUCGAUGGCGACGGCCGGCGCCGCGGCCGGGAAAUGAAUCUGCAGCUGAUUUCCGGCCGGGUGUCCGCACAGGCAUACCUCAACGAUAAGGAAAAUAGUGGACUUUUUGCAAAGGAAAAAAUGGAAAACAAGCAGUUGACCCGACGGAGGCGCUGAACUGCUGAUAUCUGUCGCAGGAUCGGAUCGUCUUGGUGCAUGUUGUCCGUCUUUGUAAGCUGGGUUCAAUGAACCAUCGAUAAUGAAACCGUCUGGCAGCAAUUUCAAUUUU